GUGUCUCAACCUUGGAAAGUGCC
rnacentral:siRNA from 1 species